rnacentral:rRNA from 1 species
GACGAACGCUGGCGGCGUGCUUAACACAUGCAAAUCGAGCGGUAAGGCCCUUUCGGGGGUACACGAGCGGCGAACGGGUGAGUAACACGUGGGUGACCUGCCCUUAGCUCUGGGAUAAGCCUGGGAAACUGGGUCUAAUACCGGAUAUGACUCCAUAACGCAUGUUGUGGGGUGGAAAGCCUUGUGCGGCUAGGGAUGGGCCCGCGGCCUAUCAGCUUGUUGGUGGGGUGAUGGCCACCAAGGCGACGACGGGUAGCCGGCCUGAGAGGGCGACCGGCCACACUGGGACUGAGACACGGCCCAGACUCCUACGGGAGGCAGCAGUGGGGAAUCUUGCGCAAUGGGCGAAAGCCUGACGCAGCGACGCCGCGU